rnacentral:rRNA from 1 species
ACUCAAAUGAAUAGACGGGGAUUCGCACAAGCAGUGGAGCAUGUGGUUUAAUUCGAUGCUACGCGAAGAACCUUAUCCGAGGCUUGACAUCCCUAUCGUACCCCUAAGAAAUUAGGGGGUCAGUUCGGCUGGAUAGGUGACAGGUGCUGCAUGGCCGUCGUCAGCUCGUGUCGUGAGAUGUUGGGUUAAGUCCCGCAACGAGCGCAACCCUUGUCGUGUGUUGUAUUUUUCACACGAGACCGCCCGGGCCAACCGGGAGGAAGGUGGGGAUGACGUCAGGUCAGCAUGGCCCUUAUGUCUCGGGCCACACACGUGCUACAAUGGCCGGCACAACGGGUCGCCAACCCGCGAGGGGGAGCUAAUCCCAAAAAACCGGUCCCAGUUCGGAUUGCAGGCUGCAACUCGCCUGCAUGAAGUUGGAAUUGCUAGUAAACGCGGGUCAGCACACCGCGUUGAAUACGUUCCCGAAUCUUGUACACACCGCCCGU